AGUCGCCACGGGAAUACGAAGGGUGCAAGCGUUAAUCGGAAUUACUGGGCGUAAAGCGCGUGUAGGUGGUUGUUUAAGUCUGUCGUGAAAGCCCUGGGCUCAACCUGGGAAUUGCGAUGGAUACUGGGCGACUAGAGUGCGGUAGAGGAUAGUGGAAUUUCCGGUGUAGCAGUGAAAUGCGUAGAGAUCGGAAGGAACAUCUGUGGCGAAGGCGACUAUCUGGGCCAACACUGACACUGAGACACGAAAGCGUGGGGAGCAAACAGGAUUAGAUACCCCUGUAGUCCCUGUCUCUUAUACA
rnacentral:rRNA from 1 species